GCCUGGGUGGCUCAGUUGGUUAAGUGUCCGACUUUGGCUCAGGUUAUGAUCUCUUGGCUUGUGGGUUCAAGCCCCAUCUUGGGCU
rnacentral:tRNA from 1 species